CAUACAAUCUCUUACAGGAUUCCAAGACUAUGGUGUCCAGAAUGCUUCUCUGAGGUGGUCUGGCAGCUCUUAGAGGACAAAAGCAGAGGCCGAAUCUCCUGCUCCUUUCUCCCAAAGCUCUGCCCAGCCUAAUCCCACCACAGAGACCCAAAACCUAAGACUAUGGCUGAGCUAAGAAGCUGCCCUCAAUAAGGCCAGAUGAAGGAAGGCAAGAAAGCCCUAUGACGCAGAUGUGGAGUGGGGAGGCCUUACCGCCAUGACACACUUUGGGCACCGCCAGACACCCUUGGGGAUCUCAGGCAGAGGAGGCAGCAGGCAGAAGAUGUGGUAGUUGUCAUCACAGCCAUCACACAGCAGGAGCUUGUCAUCCUCAUCCCCUCGAGAACACAUCCGGCAGACAUAUGACUCAAUCUGCCAGGGGAGAAGAGCAAAAGUUCUCCAUUGGAAAUCCACUGUGUUUGCUGGCUGAAUGAUUUACAGUCCUGUACAAGCUAGCCAUGCUAGGUCUGGAGCUCAACUGCAUGUAUGUACCCUCCCCAAAUAAGCAGGUAGAGCUGCGAGACCAGUCUUUUAUCAUCCAGUCUUGAAUCCUCCCAUUUUUAUUCAUUCAAUAAACACUUACUAAACCCAUGUUCAGAACUA